rnacentral:rRNA from 1 species
GCACAAGCGGUGGAGCAUGUGGUUCAAUUCGAAGCAACGCGCAGAACCUUACCAGCCCUUGACAUGUCCCGUAUGGGUUUCAGAGAUGAGAUCCUUCAGUUCGGCUGGCGGGAACACAGGUGCUGCAUGGCUGUCGUCAGCUCGUGUCGUGAGAUGUUGGGUUAAGUCCCGCAACGAGCGCAACCCUCGCCCUUAGUUGCCAUCAUUUAGUUGGGCACUCUAAGGGGACUGCCGGUGAUAAGCCGCGAGGAAGGUGGGGAUGACGUCAAGUCCUCAUGGCCCUUACGGGCUGGGCUACACACGUGCUACAAUGGCGGUGACAGUGGGAUGCAAUGGAGCAAUCCUGCGCAAAUCUCAAAAAGCCGUCUCAGUUCGGAUUGGGGUCUGCAACUCGACCCCAUGAAGUCGGAAUCGCUAGUAAUCGCAGAUCAGCACGCUGCGGUGAAUACGUUCCCGGGC